rnacentral:rRNA from 1 species
AUACGGAGGGGGUUAGCGUUGUUCGGAAUUACUAGGCGUAAAGCGUACGUAGGCGGAUCGGAAAGUAAGGGGUGAAAUCCCAGGGCUCAACCCUGGAACUGCCUCUUAAACUCCCGGUCUUGAGUUCGAGAGAGGUGAGUGGAAUUCCUAGUGUAGAGGUGAAAUUCGUAGAUAUUAGGAGGAACACCAGUGGCGAAGGCGGCUCACUGGCUCGAUACUGACGCUGAGGUACGAAAGUGUGGGGAGCAAACAGGAUUAGAAACCCUAGUAGUCA